AGUCACUGACAUUAGAUACCCGUGUAGUCCAGGGUGUAAACGCUGCAGACUUGGUGUUGGGAACCCUUCGGGGGCGCUCAGUGCCGGAGAGAAGUUGUUAAGUCUGCUACUUGGGGAGUACGUCCGCAAGGAUGAAACUUAAAGGAAUUGGCGGGGGAGCACCGCAACGGGAGGAGCGUGCGGUUUAAUUGGAUUCAACGCCGAAAAACUCACCAGCAGCGACUGUUACAUGAAAGUCAGGUUGAUGACCUUACUAGAUUUUCAG
rnacentral:rRNA from 1 species